rnacentral:lncRNA from 1 species
GGGUUUGGGUUUAGGAUUUAAGGUUUAGGGUUUAAAAUUUAAAAUUUAGGGUUUACGGUUUAAGUAACGGCGUCAUCGGCAUUAAAAUUGGCAUUAUUCUGUUUUUUAAUUAUUUUUAAAUAAGUUUAAUAUUUUUUAAUUAAUUAUCUACAUGGCAAUUUGAUUGGUCAUAAAAAGAGAGGUGAAUUUAAAGGUUCACCCUAGGGGGUGAACCUAAGUCUUGUUCAUUAGUUAACUGGUUAUGUGUUUUGUUUCCAUUACCGUCGGGAAUUUGUUAUUAUUGUUU